rnacentral:rRNA from 1 species
GUACGGGAGGCAGCAGUGGGGAAUUGUUCGCAAUGGGCGCAAGCCUGACGACGCAACGCCGCGUGGAGGACGAAGAUCUUCGGAUCGUAAACUCCUGUCGAGUGGGACGAACGGCCCGGGACCUAAUACGUCUCGGGAGUGACGGUACCGCGAGAGGAAGCCCCGGCUAACUCCGUGCCAGCAGCCGCGGUAAUACGGGGGGGGCUAGCGUUGUUCGGAAUUACUGGGCGUAAAGGGCUCGUAGGCGGCCAUCUCAGUCAGACGUGAAAUCCCUCGGCUCAACCGAGGAACUGCGUCUGAUACUGGAUGGCUCGAAUCCGGGAGAGGGAUGCGGAAUUCCAGGUGUAGCGGUGAAAUGCGUAGAUAUCUGGAGGAACACCGGUGGCGAAGGCGGCAUCCUGGACCGGUAUUGACGCUGAUGAGCGAAAGCCAGGGGAGCAAACGGGAUUAGAAACCCCAGUAGUCCU